UACGUAGGGGGCUAGCGUUGUCCGGAUUUAUUGGGCGUAAAGAGCGUGUAGGCGGCCAGGUAGGUCUGGUGUGAAAACUCGAGGCUUAACCUCGAGAUGUCAUCGGAAACCAUCUGGCUAGAGUCCGGAAGAGGAGAGUGGAAUUCAUGGUGUAGCGGUGAAAUGCGCAGAUAUCAGGAAGAACACCAAUGGCGAAAGCAGCUCUCUGGGACGGUACUGACGCUGAGACGCGAAAGCGUGGGGAGCGAACAGG
rnacentral:rRNA from 1 species